rnacentral:rRNA from 1 species
UGUGCCAGCAGCCGCGGUAAUACAGAGGGUGCAAGCGUUAAUCGGAUUUACUGGGCGUAAAGCGUGCGUAGGCGGCUAUUUAAGUCGGAUGUGAAGCCCUGGGCUCAACCUGGGAACUGCAUUCGAUGCUGGGUAGCUAGAGAUCGGUAGAGGGCGGCGGAAUUCCGGGUGUAGCGGUGAAAUGCGUAGAUAUCCGGAGGAACACCGAUGGCGAAGGCAACCGCCUGGGCCUGAUCUGACGC